rnacentral:rRNA from 1 species
CCUACGGGAGGCAGCAGUGAGGAAUAUUGGUCAAUGGACGAGAGUCUGAACCAGCCAAGUAGCGUGAAGGAUGACUGCCCUAUGGGUUGUAAACUUCUUUUAUAAAGGAAUAAAACGAGGCACGUGUGCCUUUUUGUAUGUACUUUAUGAAUAAGGAUCGGCUAACUCCGUGCCAGCAGCCGCGGUAAUACGGAGGAUCCGAGCGUUAUCCGGAUUUAUUGGGUUUAAAGGGAGCGUAGAUGGGUUGUUAAGUCAGUUGUGAAAGUUUGCGGCUCAACCGUAAAAUUGCAAUUGAUACUGGCAGUCUUGAGUACAGUUGAGGUAGGCGGAAUUCGUGGUGUAGCGGUGAAAUGCUUAGAUAUCACGAAGAACCCCGAUUGCGAAGGCAGCUUACUAGACUGUGACUGACACUGAUGCUCGAAAGUGUGGGUAUCAAACAGGAUUAGAUACCCUUGUAGUC